rnacentral:rRNA from 1 species
GACCCCAGGUCAGCGGGGCUACCGCUGAGUUUAAGCAUAUCAAUAAGCGGAGGAAC